AUUGAACGCUGGCGGCAGGCCUAACACAUGCAAGUCGAGCGGAUGAGGAGAGCUUGCUCUCUGAUUUAGCGGCGGACGGGUGAGUAAUGCCUAGGAAUCUGCCUGGUAGUGGGGGAUAACGUCCGGAAACGGGCGCUAAUACCGCAUACGUCCUACGGGAGAAAGCAGGGGACCUUCGGGCCUUGCGCUAUCAGAUGAGCCUAGGUCGGAUUAGCUAGUUGGUGAGGUAAUGGCUCACCAAGGCUACGAUCCGUAACUGGUCUGAGAGGAUGAUCAGUCACACUGGAACUGAGACACGGUCCAGACUCCUACGGGAGGCAGCAGUGGGGAAUAUUGGACAAUGGGCGAAAGCCUGAUCCAGCCAUGCCGCGUGUGUGAAGAAGGUCUUCGGAUUGUAAAGCACUUUAAGUUGGGAGGAAGGGCAGUAAGUUAAUACCUUGCUGUCUUGACGUUACCGACAGAAUAAGCACCGGCUAACUUCGUGCCAGCCGCCGCCGUAAAAC
rnacentral:rRNA from 1 species